rnacentral:rRNA from 1 species
UGGGGAGUACGGUCGCAAGAUUAAAACUCAAAUGAAUUGACGGGGGCCCGCACAAGCGGUGGAGCAUGUGGUUUAAUUCGAUGCAACGCGAAGAACCUUACCUACUCUUGACAUCCAGAGAAGCCAGCGGAGACGCAGGUGUGCCUUCGGGAGCUCUGAGACAGGUGCUGCAUGGCUGUCGUCAGCUCGUGUUGUGAAAUGUUGGGUUAAGUCCCGCAACGAGCGCAACCCUUAUCCUUGUUUGCCAGCGAGUAAUGUCGGGAACUCCAGGGAGACUGCCGGUGAUAAACCGGAGGAAGGUGGGGACGACGUCAAGUCAUCAUGGCCCUUACGAGUAGGGCUACACACGUGCUACAAUGGCGCAUACAGAGGGCGGCGAACUUGCGAGAGUGAGCGAAUCCCAAAAAGUGCGUCG